rnacentral:rRNA from 1 species
UGGGGAAUAUUGGACAAUGGGGGCAACCCUGAUCCAGCAAUGCCGCGUGAGUGAUGAAGGCCUUCGGGUUGUAAAGCUCUUUUGGCGGGGACGAUGAUGACGGUACCCGCAGAAUAAGCCCCGGCUAACUUCGUGCCAGCAGCCGCGGUAAUACGAAGGGGGCAAGCGUUGUUCGGAAUUACUGGGCGUAAAGGGCGCGUAGGCGGCUUACCAAGUCAGGCGUGAAAUUCCCGGGCUCAACCUGGGGGCUGCGCUUGAUACUGGUGAGCUUGAAUACGGGAGAGGAUAGUGGAAUUCCCAGUGUAGAGGUGAAAUUCGUAGAUAUUGGGAAGAACACCAGUGGCGAAGGCGGCUAUCUGGCCCGUUUUAUUUGACGCUGAGGCGCGAAAGCGUGGGGAAGCAAACA